UACGGAGGGGGCGAGCGUUAUUCGGAAUUAUUGGGCGUAAAGGGCGCGUAGGCGGCUUGAUGUGUCAAAGGUGAAAUCCCUCGGCUCAACUGAGGAACUGCCUUUGAAACUGUCUGGCUUGAGGCCGGGAGAGGGUAGCGGAAUUCCCAGUGUAGCGGUGAAAUGCGUAGAUACUGGGAGGAACACCGGUGGCGAAGGCGGCUACCUGGACCGGUUCUGACGCUGAUGCGCGAAAGCGUGGGUAGCAAACCGG
rnacentral:rRNA from 1 species